UACGGAGGGGGCUAGCGUUGUUCGGAAUUACUGGGCGUAAAGCGCGCGUAGGCGGCUUUGUAAAGUUAGAGGUGAAAGCCCGGAGCUCAACUCCGGAACUGCCUUUAAGACUGCAUCGCUAGAAUUGUGGAGAGGUAAGUGGAAUUCCGAGUGUAGAGGUGAAAUUCGUAGAUAUUCGGAAGAACACCAGUGGCGAAGGCGACUUACUGGACACAUAUUGACGCUGAGGUGCGAAAAGCGUGGGGAGCAAACAGG
rnacentral:rRNA from 1 species